GCCUUCGUGGUGCAGUGGUCAGCACGCUCGGCGCGUAAUCGAGAGGUCCGUGGUUCGAGUCCCGGCUAGUUCA
rfam:Stegodyphus mimosarum contig52867, whole genome shotgun sequence.